rnacentral:rRNA from 1 species
CGAGUGGCGGACGGGUGAGUAAUGUCUGGGAAACUGCCCGAUGGAGGGGGAUAACUACUGGAAACGGUAGCUAAUACCGCAUAACGUCGCAAGACCAAAGCGGGGGACCUCCGGGCCUCGCGCCACCAGAUGAACCCAUAUGGGAUUAGCUUGUAGGUAAGGUAACGGCUUACCUAGGCGACGAUCCCUAGCUGGUCUGAGAGGAUGAUCAGCCACACUGGGACUGAGACACGGCCCAG